ensembl:lncRNA
UAAAGUCAGAUCGUAUUUUAUUGUGUACUAAAGGUGAGAUUAUUGUGUUGUGGACUAAAAUGAGAUCAUUGUUGUGUUGUGUACUAAAGUGAGAUCAUCAUUGUUUUGUUUACUAAAGUUAGGUACAUCAUUGUGUUGUGUACUCAAGUGAGAUCAUCAUUGUGUUGUGUACUAAAGUGAGAUCCUCAUUGUGUUGUGUUGUGUUCCCUAGGUGGAGCAGGGUGAAGAGACAACAGCGUCACCAGCGUCAUAACACCUAAACUGCCAACACACAAAAUGGCGUCCAGUGAAGUAUGACCUGUAAUGGUGCUGGGAGAUUCGAGAGAUACGAGAGCCUCACCGCCCACGGUGUCAAGGGUCUCCAGUCUACUAUGGAUGAGGAGAGAG